rnacentral:rRNA from 1 species
AUUGAACGCUGGCGGCAUGCCUUACACAUGCAAGUCGAACGGCAGCACGGGUGCUUGCACCUGGUGGCGAGUGGCGAACGGGUGAGUAAAGUAUCGGAACGUGCCUGGUAGUGGGGGAUAACUAGUCGAAAGACUAGCUAAUACCGCAUACGAUCUAAGGAUGAAAACAGGGGACCUUCGGGCCUUGUGCUAUCAGAGCGGCCGAUAUCUGAUUAGCUAGUUGGUGGGGUAAAAGCCCACCAAGGCGACGAUCAGUAGCUGGUCUGAGAGGACGACCAGCCACACUGGAACUGAGACACGGUCCAGACUCCUACGGGAGGCAGCAGUGGGGAAUUUUGGACAAUGGGGGCAACCCUGAUCCAGCAAUGCCGCGUGAGUGAAGAAGGCCCUCGGGUUGUAAAGCUCUUUUGUCAGGGAAGAAAAGGCUGUGGCUAAUAUCCACAGCUGCUGACGGUACCUGAAGAAUAAGCACCGGCUAACUACGUGCCAGCCGCCGCGGUAAC